UACGUAGGUGGCGAGCGUUAUCCGGAAUUAUUGGGCGUAAAGCGCGCGCAGGCGGUUCCUUAAGUCUGAUGUCGAAGACCACGGCUCAACCGUGGAGGGUCAUUGGAAACUGGGGAACUUGAGUGCAGAAGAGAAGAGCGGAAUUCCACGUGUAGCGGUGAAAUGCGUAGAGAUGUGGAGGAACACCGGUGGCGAAGGCGGCGUCCUGGACCAACACUGACACUGAUGAGCGAAAGCCAGGGGAGCAAACGGG
rnacentral:rRNA from 1 species